AAAUUGAAGAGUUUGAUCAUGGCUCAGAUUGAACGCUGGCGGCAGGCCUAACACAUGCAAGUCGAACGGUAACAGGAAACAGCUUGCUGUUUCGCUGACGAGUGGCGGACGGGUGAGUAAUGUCUGGGAAACUGCCUGAUGGAGGGGGAUAACUACUGGAAACGGUAGCUAAUACCGCAUAAUGUCGCAAGACUAAAGAGGGGGACCUUCGGGCCUCUUGCCAUCGGAUGUGCCCAGAUGGGAUUAGCUAGUAGGUGGGGUAACGGCUCACCUAGGCGACGAUCCCUAGCUGGUCUGAGAGGAUGACCAGCCACACUGGAACUGAGACACGGUCCAGACUCCUACGGGAGGCAGCAGUGGGGAAUAUUGCACAAUGGGCGCAAGCCUGAUGCAGCCAUGCCGCGUGUAUGAAGAAGGCCUUCGGGUUGUAAAGUACUUUCAGCGG
rnacentral:rRNA from 1 species